AUUCAUCUCUGACAGACCUGGAGCAGUUAAUGUCUGCUGCUAAGGUUUCCACUACAGAUGCAAGAAAAAGAAGGUCCUCGCACUUUCUGUCUGGUUGUGGCAGCCAAGAUUGAACUGGGGAAUACGGAA
rnacentral:snoRNA from 1 species